rnacentral:rRNA from 1 species
UACGUAGGGUGCAAGCGUUGUCCGGAAUUAUUGGGCGUAAAGAGCUCGUAGGCGGUUUGUCGCGUCGAAUGUGAAAACCCGGGGCUCAACCCCGGGCCUGCAUUCGAUACGGGCAGGCUAGAGUGUGGUAGGGGAGAUCGGAAUUCCUGGUGUAGCGGUGAAAUGCGUAGAGAUCGGGAGGAACACCCGUGGCGAAGGCGGCCACCUGGGCCGACCCUGACGCUGAGGCGCGAAGGCGUGGGGAGCGAACGGG